rnacentral:rRNA from 1 species
UACGUAGGUGACAAGCGUUGUCCGGAUUUACUGGGCGUAAAGAGCGUGUAGGCGGCCAAGCAGGUCCGUUGUGAAAACUGGAGGCUUAACCUCCAGACGUCGACGGAAACCGCGUGGCUAGAGUCCGGAAGAGGAGAGUGGAAUUCCUGGUGUAGCGGUGAAAUGCGCAGAUAUCAGGAAGAACACCAAUGGCGAAGGCAGCUCUCUGGGACGGUACUGACGCUGAGACGCGAAAGCGUGGGGAGCGAACAGG